GCCUGGGUGGCUCAGUCAGUUAAGCGUCCGACUUCAGCUCAGGUUAUGAUCUUGUGGCUCAUGGGUUCAAGCCCUACUCCAGGCU
rnacentral:tRNA from 1 species